rnacentral:snoRNA from 1 species
GUUGAUCGUGGUCCUCGUUGGUUGUUGAUGGUUGUUGAUGGGCACACUGACUGACG